rnacentral:rRNA from 1 species
GGCUUAGAGUUUGAUCAUGGCUCAGGACGAACGCUGGCGGCACGCUUAACACAUGCAAGUCGAACGGACUUUAAUUGAGCUUGCUUGAUUAAAGUUAGUGGCGGACGGGUGAGUAACACGUGAGCAAUCUGCCUUUCAGAGGGGGAUACCUGUUGGAAACGACAGUUAAUACCGCAUAACAUAGUUUUACCGCAUGGUGAGAUUAUCAAAGAUUUAUCGCUGAAAGAUGAGCUCGCGUCUGAUUAGCUAGUUGGUGAGGUAACGGCUCACCAAGGCGACGAUCAGUAGCCGGACUGAGAGGUUGAACGGCCACAUUGGGACUGAGACACGGCCCAGACUCCUACGGGAGGCAGCAGUGGGGAAUAUUGCACAAUGGGCGAAAGCCUGAUGCAGCGAUGCCGCGUGAGGGAAGAAGGUUUUAGGAUUGUAAACCUCUGUUUUAAGGGACGAUAAUGACGGUACCUUAGGAGGAAGCUCCGGCUAACUACGUGCCAGCAGCCGCGGUAAUACGUAGGGAGCGAGCGUUGUCCGGAAUUACUGGGUGUAAAGGGAGUGUAGGCGGGACUGCAAGUCAGGUGUGAAAACUAUGGGCUUAACCCAUAGACUGCACUUGAAACUGUAGUUCUUGAGUGAAGUAGAGGUAAGC